rnacentral:rRNA from 1 species
CCUACGGGAGGCAGCAGUGGGGAAUAUUGGACAAUGGGCGCAAGCCUGAUCCAGCCAUGCCGCGUGAGUGAUGAAGGCCUUAGGGUUGUAAAGCUCUUUUAUCCGGGACGAUAAUGACGGUACCGGAAGAAUAAGCCCCGGCUAACUUCGUGCCAGCAGCCGCGGUAAU